GUUGGGAAUCUUGGACAAUGGGCGAAAGCCUGAUCCAGCCAUGCCGCGUGUGUGAAGAAGGUCUUCGGAUUGUAAAGCACUUUAAGUUGGGAGGAAGGGCAUUAACCUAAUACGUUAGUGUUUUGACGUUACCGACAGAAUAAGCACCGGCUAACUUCGUGCCAGCAGCCGCGGUAAUACGAAGGGUGCAAGCGUUAAUCGGAAUUACUGGGCGUAAAGCGCGCGUAGGUGGUUCGUUAAGUUGGAUGUGAAAGCCCCGGGCUCAACCUGGGAACUGCAUCCAAAACUGGCGAGCUAGAGUACGGUAGAGGGUGGUGGAAUUUCCUGUGUAGCGGUGAAAUGCGUAGAUAUAGGAAGGAACACCAGUGGCGAAGGCGACCACCUGGACUGAUACUGACACUGAGGUGCGAAAGCGUGGGGAGCAAACAGGAUUAGAUACCCGAGUAGUCC
rnacentral:rRNA from 1 species